rnacentral:rRNA from 1 species
UACGUAGGGUGCAAGCGUUGUCCGGAAUUAUUGGGCGUAAAGAGCUCGUAGGCGGUCUGUCGCGUCGGAUGUGAAAAUCCAGGGCUCAACCCUGGACCUGCAUUCGAUACGGGCAGACUAGAGUUCGGUAGGGGAGACUGGAAUUCCUGGUGUAGCGGUGAAAUGCGCAGAUAUCAGGAGGAACACCGAUGGCGAAGGCAGGUCUCUGGGCCACUACUGACGCUGAGAAGCGAAAGCGUGGGGAGCGAACAGG